CUUAAUUUUACCAGUACCACACACAACAAUGAAACGGGUGAAGAAAGAGGAAGAUAAAAAAAAGACCAGCGAUAAGUCUGAGCUACCAAGAUAACAAGUCCCUUGUGACAUGCAAGAGUCUACAGUACAAAAGGGAGAUAGAUCAAUUGGUAAAAAAAAAGGGAGAUAGAUCAAUACUACGUAAAUCUCAAGAAGCAAGUCAUGACCCGCCAUAUCGGAAUAGGAGGCCUGUGGAA
rnacentral:lncRNA from 1 species